CCUACGGGAGACAGCAGUAGGGAAUCUUUCACAAUGGGCGAAAGCCUGAUGGAGCAACGCCGCGUGCAGGAUGAAGGCCUUCGGGUUGUACACUGCUUUUAUAAGCGAGAAAUAUGAUGGUAACUUAUGAAUAAGGAUCGGCUAACUACGUGCCAGCAGCCGCGGUCAUACGUAGGAUCCGAGCAUUAUCCGGAGUGACUGGGUGUAAAGAGUUGCGUAGGUGGCAUAAUAAGUAGCUAGUGAAAUCUGGUGGCUCAACCAUUCAGACUAUUAGCUAAACUGUUAAGCUCGAGACCGUUAGGGGUAACUGGAAUUUCUAGUGUAGGAGUGAAAUCCGUAGAUAUUAGAAGGAACACCAAUAGCGUAGGCAGGUUGCUGGGACGGUUCUGACACUAAGGCACGAAAGCGUAGGGAGCAAACGGGAUUAGAUACCCGAGUAGUC
rnacentral:rRNA from 1 species